GCCUUCUUAGCUCAGUGGUAGAGCGUUGGUCUUGUAUCCUUGAUUUAAGAGAACCAAAGGCCGGGAGUUCGAUCCUCUCAGGAGGCA
rnacentral:tRNA from 1 species